AAGGGACAAGCCGAAAACCCUUAACAGAGUAGGCA
rfam:Mucilaginibacter pedocola strain TBZ30 scaffold3, whole genome shotgun sequence.